GGAUCGAGUUCUGUGCAAUCCCCAGCUUUUUGUUGGUUUGGUCUCCGCAUCUUCUUUCCGACAAAGGGCUGUAUCGCGACCGAUUGCGCCCAGACGCCAAGAGACGGUACUUUCAAAAAAUUGCGUGCAUCGGUAAUGUGGACCCGUAUGAAAUAAGGAAGCGGAGUGGAAACCCAGACGACCUACCGCCUUUGUCCUAUCCCGAUCUUUGCAUACCUUGUCUGUGGAGUCAGCGCAUACACAGCAAACCAGUUUAAGAAUUAUAAAUCCCUGGAGGCCCACAUCCAAUUCACGAACGGCUGGGUGCAAGAUUUGUCCAUCUUUAUGCCUCCACGCUGCGACAACUGUACGUUGUCGUUAAGACAAAGGUACUGCACUCACAACGACUGAAUGAAACUGCACUGUGACCUCGUUGUGUGGACACAGAGAGA